rnacentral:rRNA from 1 species
ACGCUGGCGGCGUGCCUAAAUACAUGCAAAGUCGAGCGAAACAGACGAGGGAGCUUGCUCCUCUGACGUUAGCGGGCGGACGGGUGAGUAAACACGUGGAUAAACCUACCUAUAAGACUGGGAUAACUUCGGGAAACCGGAGCUAAUACCGGAUAAUAUAUUGAAACCGCAUGGUUCAAUAGUGAAAAGACGGUUUUGCUGUCACUUAUAGAUGGAUCCGCGCCGCAUUAGCUAGUUGGUAAGGUAACGGCUUACCAAGGCAACGAUGCGUAGCCCGACCCUGAGAGGGUGAUCGGCCACACUGGAACUGAGACACGGUCCAGACUCCUACGGGAGGCAGCAGUAGGGAAUCUUCCGCAAUGGGCGAAAGCCUGACGGAGCAACGCCGCGUGAGUGAUGAAGGUCUUCGGAUCGUAAAACUCUGUUAUUAGGGAAGAACAAAUGUGUAAGUAACUAUGCACGUCUUGACGGUACCUAAUCAGAAAGCCACGGCUAACUACGUGCCAGCAGCCGCGGUAAU